rnacentral:rRNA from 1 species
AUACGGAGGAUGCGAGCGUUAUCCGGAUUUAUUGGGUUUAAAGGGAGCGUAGGCGGGAGCUUAAGUCAGCGGUUAAAUGGUGCGGCUCAACCGUGCCCUGCCGUUGAAACUGGGUUUCUUGAGAGUGCAAGAGGCGGAUGGAAUUCCUGGGGUAGCGGUGAAAUGCUUAGAUAUCAUGAAGAACUCCGAUUGCGAAGGCAGUCCGCUGGGGCACGUCUGACGCUGAUGCUCGAAGGUGCGGGAAUCAAACAGGAUUAGAUACCCUGGUAGUCCGCACGGUAAACGAUGAUUACCCGCUGUCGGCGGCAGACAGUCGGCGGCCAAGCGAAAGCGAUAAGUAAUCCACCUGGGGAGUACGCCGGCAACGGUGAAACUCAAAGGAAUUGACGGGG